rnacentral:rRNA from 1 species
GAUGAACGCUGGCGGCGUGCCUAAUACAUGCAAGUAGAACGCUGAAGGAGGAGCUUGCUCUUCUGGAUGAGUUGCGAACGGGUGAGUAACGCGUAGGUAACCUGCCUGGUAGCGGGGGAUAACUAUUGGAAACGAUAGCUAAUACCGCAUGACAACAGUUAUUGCAUGAUAACUGUUUAAAAGGGGCAACUGCUCCACUACCAGAUGGACCUGCGUUGUAUUAGCUAGUUGGUGAGGUAACGGCUCACCAAGGCGACGAUACAUAGCCGACCUGAGAGGGUGAUCGGCCACACUGGGACUGAGACACGGCCCAGACUCCUACGGGAGGCAGCAGUAGGGAAUCUUCGGCAAUGGACGGAAGUCUGACCGAGCAACGCCGCGUGAGUGAAGAAGGUUUUCGGAUCGUAAAGCUCUGUUGUAAGAGAAGAACGAAUGUGAGAGUGGAAAGUUCACACUGUGACGGUAUCUUACCAGAAAGAGACGGCUAACUACGUG